GAUGAACGCUGGCGGCGUGCCUAAUACAUGCAAGUCGAGCGAACAGACGAGGAGCUUGCUCCUCUGACGUUAGCGGCGGACGGGUGAGUAACACGUGGAUAACCUACCUAUAAGACUGGGAUAACUUCGGGAAACCGGAGCUAAUACCGGAUAAUAUAUUGAACCGCAUGGUUCAAUAGUGAAAGACGGUCUUGCUGUCACUUAUAGAUGGAUCCGCGCCGCAUUAGCUAGUUGGUAAGGUAACGGCUUACCAAGGCAACGAUGCAUAGCCGACCUGAGAGGGUGAUCGGCCACACUGGAACUGAGACACGGGCCAGACUCCUACGGGAGGCAGCAGGAGGGAAUCUUCCGCAAUGGGCGAAAGCCUGACGGAGCAACGCCGCGUGAGUGAUGAAGGUCUUCGGAUCGUAAAACUCUGUUAUUAGGGAAGAACAUAUGUGUAAGUAACUGUGCACAUCUUGACGGUACCUAAUCAGAAAGCCACGGCUAACUACGUG
rnacentral:rRNA from 1 species